rnacentral:rRNA from 1 species
UGAUUAUGACGUACUUGUACUGAUUGAGAUUUUAACACGAAGUGAGUGGCGAACGGGUGAGUAACACGUGGGUAACCUGCCCAGAAGUAGGGGAUAACACCUGGAAACAGAUGCUAAUACCGUAUAACAGAGAAAACCGCAUGGUUUUCUUUUAAAAGAUGGCUCUGCUAUCACUUCUGGAUGGACCCGCGGCGUAUUAGCUAGUUGGUGAGGUAAAGGCUCACCAAGGCAGUGAUACGUAGCCGACCUGAGAGGGUAAUCGGCCACAUUGGGACUGAGACACGGCCCAGACUCCUACGGGAGGCAGCAGUAGGGAAUCUUCCACAAUGGACGCAAGUCUGAUGGAGCAACGCCGCGUGAGUGAAGAAGGGUUUCGGCUCGUAAAGCUCUGUUGUUAAAGAAGAACGUGGGUAAGAGUAACUGUUUACCCAGUGACGGUAUUUAACCAGAAAGCCACGGCUAACUACGUGCCAGCAGCCGCGGUAAUACGUAGGUGGCAAGCGUUAUCCGGAUUUAUUGGGAGUAAAGCGAGCGCAGGCGGUCUUUUAAAGUCUAAUGUGAAAGCCUUCGGCUCAACCGAAGAAGUGCAUUGGAAACUGGGAGACUUGAGUGCAGAAGAGGACAGUGGAAACUCCAUGUGUAGCGGUGAAAUGCGUAGAUAUAUGGAAGAACACCAGUGGCGAAGGCGGCUGUCUGGUCUGCAACUGACGCUGAGGCUCGAAAGCAUGGGUAGCGAACAGGAUUAGAUACCCUGGUAGUCCAUGCCGUUAAACGAUGAAUUACCUAAGUGUUUGGA